rnacentral:ncRNA from 1 species
UCCACCCCGGCACAAGGAGGCGCCGGGACAUGGGCACGACCCAUGAGCAGAAGCAAUGGCGCUUCUGCGGAUGCCCGGAUCGGUCAGGACGACCGCUCCGGGCAUCGCUU